rnacentral:rRNA from 1 species
GACGAACGCUGGCGGCGUGCCUAAUACAUGCAAGUCGAGCGAAGUUUUUCUGGUGCUUGCACCGGAAAAACUUAGCGGCGAACGGGUGAGUAACACGUAAAGAACCUGCCUCAUAGACUGGGACAACUAUUGGAAACGAUAGCUAAUACCGGAUAACAGCAUUAACUGCAUGGUUGAUGUUUAAAAGUUGGUUUUGCUAACACUAUGAGAUGGCUUUGCGGUGCAUUAACUAGUUGGUGGGGUAAAGGCCUACCAAGGCGACGAUGCAUAGCCGACCUGAGAGGGUGAUCGGCCACACUGGGACUGAGACACGGCCCAGACUCCUACGGGAGGCAGCAGUAGGGAAUCUUCCGCAAUGGGCGAAAGCCUGACGGAGCAACGCCGCGUGAGUGAAGAAGGAUUUCGGUUCGUAAAGCUCUGUUGUUAGGGAAGAAUGAUUGUGUAGUAACUAUACACAGUAGAGACGGUACCUAACCAGAAAGCCACGGCUAACUACGUG